rnacentral:misc_RNA from 1 species
AAGUCGUAACAAGGUUUCCGUAGGUGAACCUGCGGAAGGAUCAUUAUUGAAACUUGAAUCGUAGCAUUGAGAACUGUUGCUGACCUGUUAAAGGGUAUGUGCACGUUCGACGUGUUGCAUUCUAUUCAUCCACCUGUGCACCUUUGUAGACUUGAUUAACUUUCGCUCUCGAGCGGUUAGAAGGGUUGCUUUCGAGCUCCCUUUGUCUAUCAAGUCUAUGUCUAUAUAAUCUCUUGUAUGUCUAGAAUGUCUUGUUUAUGGGACGCAAGUCCUUUAAAUCUUAUACAACUUUCAACAACGGAUCUCUUGGCUCUC